rnacentral:misc_RNA from 1 species
CAUCACGUGACCAGUUAACUUGCUGCUCCGCUUGUCGCGCGAGUAACCGUGGCCAGCCAUUUUGAUUAGUAACAUGGCGUCAGCGGAGAUUAAUAUGGCGUCCUCGGACAUAAUAACCGAAGUGGAGAUUCAACCAGAUAUCCAAGAGGUUGAAAUAGAAACAAUACCGGUAGAAAUACCUUGUGAGACUGUGGAAACUACCAUCGAAGGAGAAGAUGGACAGCCGAUGAUAGCUCUUCAAACACUUCCAGAGCCAGGACGCGAAGAAAUCAUACUACAGACGCAAGAGGAAAUCGUUGGUAGUGAUCCACUAAGCGUAUAUGAUCAGAUCCCGGUCCCAGAGAACGAUAUUUAUGUUGAGUCAAGCCCUGGUCCAUCGAGAAAGGGUCCUAAAAAGGCCAGGAAAAGCGGUUCAUCGAAAUUCAGAUCGUCUGAUCAUACGAUUUUUGGGGAAAUGGGUUCAGAAACGAAGGCUAGAAAGUGGGAGCAAAAGCAAGUACAAAUCAAGACGCUCGAAGGUGAAUUCUCGGUGACUAUGUGGGCAUCAGGUACCGAUGACGGGAGUGUCCUAUUAGCUCCUCACCUGGUGGAUGUUCCAGAUGAAGGCUCAAAUCCAGAGCCUGAUCCAGACUACACAGAAUACAUGACUGGUAAAUCCAAUGCCAAAUUCAAUCAUUCUGGAAGCUCCAUUUCUGAUGGAAUGCCAGGUCUUGACCUUUCGGACCCAAAGCAACUGGCAGAGUUUGCUAGACCUGGACACAAAUUGAAAGUACGCAAACCACCUGUUCUAGAUGGUGUUGAGCGCACUAUAGCCUGCCCACAUAAAGGAUGCACAAAAAUGUUCAGAGAUAAUAGUGCAAUGCGUAAACAUUUACAUACUCAUGGGCCAAGAGUGCAUGUAUGUGCAGAAUGUGGAAAAGCCUUUGUUGAAAGUUCCAAAUUGAAAAGGCAUCAAUUGGUUCAUACAGGAGAGAAACCUUUCCAAUGUACAUUUGAAGGAUGUGGGAAAAGGUUUAGCCUGGAUUUCAAUCUUCGUACUCAUGUUAGAAUUCAUACAGGAGACAGACCUUAUGUUUGCCCAUUUGAUGGAUGUAGCAAAAAGUUUGCACAAUCAACGAAUUUAAAGUCACAUAUAUUAACACAUGCAAAGGCUAAGUCACGUAAUGCUAUUGGAAGACAAGUACAACAAAUUCAACUUCAACAACCUCAAUUUGUUCAAGUUGAAGUUGCAGAUGUGGAUAAUCAACAGUUCAUUGUUUAUGCUGAUUAGCCCCCCUAAACAAUGAUCUCAUAUCCUAUAAAUCUAUUAUGGAAUAUCGUAAUCAUUAAUUAGUAACCUAAACAGUGUAAAUAUUUUCAUGAUAUAAGUGAUGCGGGCAGGACAUUACUAAAGCUGUUAGUUAUCUUAAGAGAAGAAAUUAAUUAAUCAAUUUAUACCUCUGUGCUUAGACGCAAAGUAAAUGGAUAUCACAAGCACUAUACUACCACAAAAAAUAAAAUAAAAUUACACUAAGAAAGACCGUCCAUCUCUACCUUUAUCGU